AGCCUGAACGCUGGCGGCGUGGCUAAGACAUGCAAGUCGUACGGGUGUAGCAAUACACCAGUGGCGAACGGGUGAGUAAUGUAUCGCUAAUGUGCCCCGGAUUCUGGGAUAGCUAUCCGAAAGGAUAGGUAAUACCAGAUGAUAUAACUUUGUCGCAUGGCAGAGUUCUCAAAGGAGUAAUCCGCUCUGGGAGCAGGCGAUAUCGUAUCAGCUAGUUGGUGAGGUAACGGCUCACCAGGGCGACGACGCGUAGCCGGACUGAGAGGUUGGCCGGCCACAUUGGGACUGAGACACUGCCCAGACUCCUACGGGGGGCUGCAGUACGAAUCUUCCGCAAUGCACGAAAGUGUGACGGAGCGACGCCGCGUGUGGGACGAAGCCCUUCGGGGUGUAAACCACUGUCAGGGGUUAGAAAGUUCUGAUCAACCCAGAGGAAGGCACGGCUAACUCUGUGCCAGCAGCCGC
rnacentral:rRNA from 1 species